rnacentral:rRNA from 1 species
AACGUAGGAGGCGAGCGUUAUCCGGAUUUACUGGGUGUAAAGCGCGUGCAGGCGGUUUGGUAAGUUGGAUGUGAAAGCUCCUGGCUUAACUGGGAGAGGUCGUUCAAAACUACCAGACUUGAGGGCGGUAGAGGGAGGUGGAAUUCCGUGUGUAGUGGUGAAAUGCGUAGAUAUACGGAGGAACACCAGUGGCGAAAGCGGCCUCCUAGACCGAUCCUGACGCUCAGACGCGAAAGCUAGGGUAGCAAACGGG